GCUAGAACCUGUUCUUCCUUGUCAAAGCGCCACAACAGACUGCGAGCUGCGUGAUCGAGAGACAAACGGAACGUCUGAAACCUCCUGGUCAAAGAUGACAGUCAAAGUGGAAAACCACGACCUGGCUGCCGCCAUCGAGCUCUGCGCCCGCGAGCUCCGGCAAGUUGGGGACAAAGUCUACUGGAGACGCAAGCUGCUGGAAAUACUGGUCAAGAACUAUGAGACUGUCACUAAGAUACGCUGAGAGGUCAAAGCUGAUGCCGACUUACAAGGAAUCAUGAAAAAGAGAGGCACUGUGCCAAGAAAAGAAACAAAAACAAGUCUUGGAUUCGAGCUCAUUACCGGUACCGACGUGGUGACACACAGGAGGGAUGCCCGCUGUUGAAUCAUCCCACAGGAGUUGCCAGUGUGGACUGUGGACUGGAAUAGAGAAUGGAAACAGAAAUGCGUGGGUGCCUGUUGCUCCGGACGGCUGACCGGACCGAGGAAGAAUGUCUACAUGGUGGAUGUCUGCUGAAGAUAAUGGAAUUCAAACACACAUACAGUCAAGCUCUAAAUCAUAUUUACAGGAUGUUCGUUUUAGAGUUGUAGCAAUGAAAAAAACUGAUGUUACAAAACGGUAAAAAAAAAGGUUACGAAUGUAAGUAUUUCCUUUGUAAAAUGGAAUACUUUGUGGAUCGCUAAUGUAAGAAGUUACUGGUACUAUCUCUACUUAAUGGGAUACAAUUAUCAUUUAACUAUGAUUCUUGUUCUGUCUGUGGUUUCAGCAUUAAUGGAUGUCUUUGAGGGCAUUUUACAGUUGUUAGAGUAUAUAUUUAAAAUACUAUAUCUUUGAAAUGUGGUUGAAAACCCUUUAAACCAUCUCCACCUUCAAAGGUUUAUAUUUAUAUGCCUAAUGCUGAGGAUGGUGUAUUUAAUGCUAUUAAUCUUUCACACUGUGAUAUAUUGAUGUUAAAAAUACUUAAUUUUCAAAACUACUGCUAAAAACUGUGUUUUUUUUAACAAGUAAAGGCAUUAAAAUGUUACUCAAAUACUGAAGUUUAGAAAACAUGUAUUUUUCCAUAAAUGAAGUAGACUACUUGCUCAUUUAUGUGUUAAAGCAUUAACUUGGACCCUCUAACAGUUAACUUGUUACAAUAAGAUGUUUGGUGUUAAAUAAAACUGGGUACUUUUGUUUGUCAAUA